rnacentral:lncRNA from 1 species
CCCAAAUGAAGUUGAAAAUCCAAUUUAUAAGACCAAUUUCUAUUCUCUCACAAUUUAUAUUAUUAGAGAAAAUGGAUAAUGAUGAAGCCCACAGAUUUCACUCCAGAACUGACUUUGCUGCAGAGGAGCGAGGAGAGCUGCCUGGCAACACAACGCAUCGCUGUGCAUAAACUUUGUUUACAGCCAAGGCUGGAGUAAAGGAACAGAUGGCAAGAAAAUCGGAUUUAAAGAAAGGAAGGAUGUGCCUGCAUCUGGGAGCUCGGCAAAACCGUUUGAAGCAGCUGCCCCUCACACUAUAUGAAAUAGCUAUUACCAAGGCUCACAGUAAAGCUGCCCAAGGCUUGCUUACCCCGCCCUCCAGAAGGAAAGUGCAAGUUACUCUUCAGGUAAGAUUUACAUCUGCUCCCUUGGGAGGGUAAAGGGAGAGAACAUAUACAUUUUAUCCCAAUGAUGUAAACUUGCACUUAACAACCCCAAUUGUUCAAUGCUGACAACAAGUUAUAAGCAUUUUUAUUUCAAAAUAACCCCAUAUACAUUUAUAGCAAUUCUAGGAUCUUCACAGCUACCCAUAAUCAAUCCCCUACAGAAACAUGCUCCAUGCCAAGAAACUCCACCCCACUCCUACAUGUUAGCAACCUGUCACUCCUGAGCAACAUCCAGUUCUGUGGAAAGUCACUUCUUCAAAUUCAUCGUGAGCUGAAGAUGAAAUUACUUAAGC